rnacentral:rRNA from 1 species
GUGCAGCAGGCGCGAAACCUCCACAAUUUGCGCAAGCAUGAUGGGGCCACUCCGAGUGCCAUCCGCUGAGGAUGGCUUUUCUUCAGUGUAAGGAGCUGGAGGAAUAAGGGGAGGGCAAGACUGGUGUCAGCCGCCGCGGUAAUACCAGCUCCCCGAGUGGUGGGGACGAUUAUUUGGCCUAAAGCGUCCGUAACCGGCCCAGUAAGUCUUCGGUUAAAUCCGGUGAUUUAAUCAUCGGACUGCUGGAGAUACUGCUAGGCUAGGGGGCGGGAGAAGCCGACGGUAGUCUAGGGGUAGGGGUGAAAUCCUAUAAUCCCUAGAGGACCACCAGUGGCGAAGGCGGUCGGCUAGAACGCGCCCGACGGUGAGGGACGAAAGCUGGGGGAGCGAACCGGAUUAGAUAUGAAGUUGAGUUUUUGCCAGCUUCACUAGAUACCCCGGUAGUCC